CCCGCUGAACUUAAGCAUAUCAAUAAGCGGAGGAAAAGAAACUAACAAGGAUUCCCCUAGUAACGGCGAGUGAAGCGGGAACAGCUCAAAUUUGAAAUCUCAUAGGUUUCCCUGUGCGAAUUGUAGUUUAAAGAAACGUUUUCUGGAGUGGCUUGGGUAUAAGUUCUUUGGAACUAGACAUCAUAGAGGGUGACAAUCCCGUUCAUGAUCCAAUGUCUGCUCCUUUGUGAUACGUUUUCUAAGAGUCAGGUAGUUUGGGAUUGCUGCCUAAAAUGGGUGGUAAAUACCAUCUAAAGCUAAAUAUUGGCGAGAGACCGAUAGCGAACAAGUACCGUGAGGGAAAGAUGAAAAGAACUUUGAAAAGAGAGUUAAACAGUACGUGAAAUUGCCAAAAGGGAAACGCUUGGAACCAGUAUUGUCUCCAGGUAAUCAAUCACACGUUCCGCAAGGGUCGCGUGUGGUGCACUUGCCUGUGGACAGGCCAACAUCAGUUUGGUUUGGGGUAAAAAGCCGGAGAAAGGUAGCUUGGACUUGUCCAAGUGUUAUAGUCUCCGGUCAUGCCCUGGACUGGACUGAGGUCUGCAGCGUUAUUUGGAUACCCGAUUGCCUCUUGAAGCAUCUUCUUUAGACAGCAUGCUGACUUUAGAAAUGUCUAGGGAGCCCAGUCGGUUCAUCACACCAGCGCUUAGGAUGUUGGCGAAAUGGUUCCAAACGACCCGUCUUGAAACACGG
rnacentral:rRNA from 1 species